AUUGAACGCUGGCGGCAGGCUUAACACAUGCAAGUCGAGCGAGCGGCGGACGGGUGAGUAAUGUCUGGGAAACUGCCUGAUGGAGGGGGAUAACUACUGGAAACGGUAGCUAAUACCGCAUACCAUCAGAUGUGCCCAGAUGGGAUUAGCUAGUAGGGGGGGUAAUGGCUCACCUAGGCGACGAUCCCUCGCUGGUCUGAGAGGAUGACCACACACCCUUGAACUGAGACACGGUCCAGACUCCUACGGGAUGCAGCCGAGGGGAAUAUUGCACAAUGGGCGCAAGCCUGUUGCAGCCAUGCCGCGUGUGUGAAGAAGGCCUUCGGGUUGGAAAGCACGUUCAGCGAGGAGGCGUUACUCGCAGCAGAAGCACCGGCUAACUCCGUGCCAGCAGCCGCGGUAAUUC
rnacentral:rRNA from 1 species